UACGUAGGGUGCGAGCGUUAAUCGGAAUUACUGGGCGUAAAGCGUGCGCAGGCGGUUAUGUAAGACAGAUGUGAAAUCCCCGGGCUUAACCUGGGAAUGGCAUUGGUGACUGCACGGCUAGAGUGUGUCAGAGGGGGGUAGAAUUCCACGUGUAGCAGUGAAAUGCGUAGAGAUGUGGAGGAAUACCGAUGGCGAAGGCAGCCCCCCUGGGAUAACACUGACGCUCAUGCACGAAAAGCGUGGGGGAGCAAACAGG
rnacentral:rRNA from 1 species